rnacentral:rRNA from 1 species
UACGAAGGGGGCUAGCGUUGCUCGGAAUUACUGGGCGUAAAGGGCGCGUAGGCGGACAACUUAGUCAGAGGUGAAAGCCCAGGGCUCAACCUUGGAAUUGCCUUUGAUACUGGUUGUCUUGAGUUCGGGAGAGGUGAGUGGAAUGCCGAGUGUAGAGGUGAAAUUCGUAGAUAUCGGGAGGAACACCGGUGGCGAAGGCGGCGACCUGGGUCGAUACUGACGCUGAGGUGCGAAAGCGUGGGGAGCAAACAGG